ACAAUGAGGAGACCCACGCCAGGCCUCAUGUCAGAACACUGACACAUCCUGAUGAGCAAACCUUCCAGAGCUGGAACAUCAAGUGGAGAAAACGAGGCUGUGAAGGGAUUCCCAGCCCUAAUUUCUGGAAGAAAAACAAGAUGUGAAUGGGGGAACAUACAAACUUCACAUAGAGAAGACCCAGACAGUAUUUGAACCAGGAUCUUCUUGCUAUGAGAUGCACGACUUAUCGAACACAUGGAGGAACUUCCCUGUAAAGGAACUUGAAGGAGACAGAGGAGUAACUCAACACCUGACACAUCGAGCAGAAAAAGGGAUUCUACAUGUCCAUGAUCUCCUUUGGGGUCACGGGGCUGCUGGAGCCUUCCCCAGCUACUGCUGGGCUACAGCUGGGCACACCCUGAACAGGUCGCCAGUCUGUUGCAGGACCACACAGAGACAGACAACCACAUUUUGCAGGACAUGAAUGUUUUAAACUGAGCUUCACUGACUAAUCGUCUACUAAACUCACAGCUCCUGCACAGAUUCCAUACAUGUCAUUAAAUUGGUUCACUUUGGUUUUUCAUCUCAGUUAAAUAUGGGGAAAACUUCAGACUAGAACACUAUCCAGAAGACCAUCAUUAACCCCCCCCAUAGUCUGGGUAAGCCACUAAUGCUCAUUACUAAGGAGGCACUGUGUCCAGUCAGAUCAAUAGAAAGUUUAAUGGAAGGACAAAAUGUGUCAGGAGAAGAUGCACAACGGGCUUCAGCAGAUUAUCAAAAGGACGAGUUCAAAAACCUGCAGACUUCCAGAAAGAGCUUCAAGAACCACCACAUUCAGAUGGAUUCUGGAGAUGGACUACAAUUGUCGGGUCCCUCGGAUCAAGACAGUUCUGAGCCUGGACCAAGGGAGAAAAUGUCUCAACUGGACCAAGGAGAAGAAGGACUGCUCUGUUGGCCAGAUGUCUUGUGUUCAAAAAUCCCUGCAACAAUGUAGCAGAAUGUUCUAGAGGUCUUCAUGAUUCCUUCUGCUGAGGAUCUGGAUGGAGAUGCAGAUUUCAUCUUCCAGCAGGACCUGGUCCCUGCCCAUACUAUUAAAGUAUUGAAAAUGACCUACCAUUUUGAAAAUACUUUAUCUUGAUUUGAUGAGAUCAUAGUCUCUGUCUUUUUUUAAAUCCUGUUUUUGGGGGUUUAUGAGCUGGAACCCCGAUAUAAGU